GAAAGUAAUAAACAUGAAAUAUCCGUAUGAGUGAAAAUUGAUUCAGUGUUCAUCGUUUGAAGACCAAAUAGCCAGCUUCAUACACCAAUAGAAGGCUGUUUACACCACUGGAAUAAUUACAUUAACUUAAAAGUACAAAUUCAACAAUAUGUGCUGUGUAUCGAUCUUUGUUUCCUGGUAGUCGUCUAAUCCUUCAUAAUAGUACACCAUUAAGUAGAAAACGCGAACGAGCUACAAUCCAAUGGAACUAUAAGUCGCUCGCGAUGAGGGUAAAAUAGCAGCGAAAAGUUUGCAGGUGUCGAGCGAGUCGUCGCGGCACGUAAGCCAACAGACGGGUCCCGAGUUCAUCAAAUGCUGUCGUAUCUUUCAAAUAAACAUUUAUCGAACGUUCGAAGGAACCAGGUAAUAAUUUUCGUUAGAAAAUGCAGUCUAACCUUACCCUUCUUUCGUCAUUGGUUUCACCAAUAGCAAAUUAUGCGAGAAAGUUUGCAAAGCAUUGGAAAAUCGCUACUUUUGAUUUACGGCCCAAACUCUUUUGCUGGAUAUCUGCGACAAGGCCGUGGAAAUACAUAGAAACCGAUAGCAGUACAAAAGGAAGGGUUGUCAUUUGCAUUUGCCACGAGUGACCCUUUUCAGGCUCUCAACGUCCAUCCAUGGAAAACGGAAAUCAAUUUGACCCGCUGCGGACCGCUUGCCAAGAUUCCGUACACAACUUUACACUUUACGAAGUCUCGGAAAUAUUUCAAAAUUUUCCAACUAAAACAGGGAAAUGUUCUUCGAUCGCAAUCUUGAAGAUAUAAUAAGAACAACAACAUAAGGAUGCAAAUACUUUUACGGACGAUAACAUUUCCAUCCUCUUGAUAUUAGAUAAUAUUAAAAUAUUGAAAACCAUCGAAAUGUCGGAUAUAUUAAGUCACCGGACAUCAAACUUAGAAGACGAGGAAAAAUGUGCUUAUCGCGCUUCUUCUUUCCUGAGAUCUCCGAACGAGACGUUCUAACUAUUAACACUUCUUGCGCAAUAGUAACGACGGCCUUCGUUUCCCAUUAAGAAGCACGGCAAUAAACAGGAGAAAAAGUGUUGGUUAAGACAGGAAGGUAGAGAAUUGAUAGAUCGAGAGGGGUCCAGAGGCGGUAAAACGCGGUUGUAAAUCGGAUUCGCAGCGGGACCGUUAUCCGAACCGAUGUUACUGAACGGUACUUUUCUCCAAAACGGAGUACCGUCGCUGUAUAACCGCGGCCUCGGGCAUAAAUCAAUUAAAUUAUAAAUUACUAUACAGAAGUUGAGCAAAACGACCACCUGUUGAGGACAGCAGCAGAGAGAGAGAGAGAGAGAGAAGAAAGUUAUUUACGAGCAGUCUAUUGUUGCCACCUGUGUUACGAAUGGUACGCUAAUUGGACUGUUGCGUUUGCCGCCUUUGUUUCAUUUGCGUACGACGAGUGGCGCCUUUAAAUCAACUUAAACAUAGCGUUUUUGUCGAUUUAAAAUUGAGUGACAGCUUAAUUCCGUGAAUGGAUACUAAUGAUUGGUUGAUCGAUGAACAUCGUAAACUAUUAAGUGAUUGACAGUGUACGAAUGUUGACCGAGAACUUUACAGUAACAACUGUCUGUGACAAUCAUCUUUCAUCGAAUCACCUUGCCGUCAAAGAGUUGCUACAUUACAAGAGACUCGUAACGUAACUCGCUUCAUCUUCCAGGAUAUUAACUUUCAAUUUGUUUCACGUGUUACGCGUGGCAAAAAUUAAUCAAACAGAAGAGAAAGAAGUAGCUUUCUAGAAGAAAUGAAACGAACCGAUAAGAAAGUUUGCUGGAAAAUAUUUUUACAUGUAAAUACUCUCUUUUGCCAACAGAGUUCAAAUUUCCAACUCUGAAGAAGGUCGUUUAUGUUUAAGCUUUGACGCGGAUUUGCUAGAUAAGCGUAUAAUUGGGAAUGCGAAGAAAGUAGUAGGUAGGGACAUUGAGAGCUGCCAGGGAUGAUUAAUUCUCGGUAGGAAAGCGCCAGACCCUUUGGAACUCGCUUGUAGCGCCCGCUCCACCCCGUCUUCUCUACCAUUCCAACAACCCCAACCACCGUCACUUCGAACCUCCUCUUCGCUCCUCGCGUACACCCGACAACCCACACCCUCUUCAACCCUCUGAGCUGCUCUUACCACCAAGCAGACUUUCUCGUUUCGUUUGUUCUCCGGCCGUGUCAUUCGUUAUUACAUCGUAGAAACUCGCGGAUAUUUGGAAUUCCGAGUGACGUCUAAAGGCCGCCCUCGUUGCUUUAACCGGUAACCCGGCUUCUUACCGCUUGCGCGGCUUCUUUGUCUGUCUUGACUUCUUUUUUCUUGCCCUGCCGCACCAAUUUCCCAUUAUUGUUAGUCCUUCCGUCAUUUUAACACGGAGGUUUUCAAAUGAUUCUUUUAGGACAAGGCGUGGCUCACUAUAAGUUUGAUAAUGGAUUGAUAGCUGGGUUAUCGUUGGAUUAAUGUGUUUCUUUAAUGAAUUUUUCUAAUUAGCAACGAGAUAAAAUCGUUUACUACGAGUUAAUCAAAGAAUCUUGAAGAUUUUAUUGGUAGUUUGAAUAUUUAAGAAUUUACAAUAAACGGUAAUUCAGUAGUUAAAUAAUAAAACAGAAGUUGAAUUUAUUAUUUUAAUAUUUAACGUUCCAUUAGCUAAACAAUGCAGUAUUAAUCUAAUAUUUAAUGUUCAUUGGUUAAAUAAUGGGAAUUCAGAAGUCAAAAUAAUCUGUGUAUUUUCAAACGCAAUGGAUUGCCGAAGGUCCAUAAAAUUUUAUAGCUGGAGUUCAUCAUCUUCCAUGAUAAUCCGGAAGAAUAUUCCUUUAUUUUAUAUAAAUUUCUUUUUCAUCAAAUAACAAUUUAUCGAAUAGCGGAAGAAACCAAUUCGCAUGCCAUUAGAUGGCGUCAUUGCUAGCUUUAGAUAUAUGUGUACAAUUAAAAAAUUUGAAAAUUUGAAAUCUGAAAAAUGAAAAAUUUCAAAAUUUGAAUGACUUUCAAAUUUUGAAACAUUCAGACUAAAAUUUCAAGCUUUCGCUCAUUCAAGCAACCGAACACACAAUUAACCCUUUGAGCGCUGCGUUAUCCGACGUUAGGCCGUGGGCUGCGCCCAUCAAGGCAUUGUAGUCUGCUACACACUUUGCUUUUCACUUUGCUCUGCCAAUUUGAUAAUUAAUUUCCUUCGUUUCAACGAAAUCAUCAGAAUGUCAGGUGGACAACAUCCAUACAUCUUUUUUAUCACGCCGCUUUUAGCCUAAAUUGAAUGGUUAUGUGUGUUUCUCAAUCAAUCGCGAGGGAGCGCGCCAACAGGAGUCUACAACAGGAGUCGUAGAUUCCCGUUACAAUUAGACAAUCGACGCCACGAACUUAUCGAUUGCCUAUUUCGUUAGGUUAGGAUAAUAGAAGUGAUUUAAUUAGUAUAACACUUGAUUAACAGUUCAAAGAUAUUAUAUAUUUUCAACAACUUGUAGACAAGAUGUUUACGUUCGGUGCGUAUGUGUAAGUUAGAGAGAUGGCUGAUCUAAAGUAGAUAUCGACCAGUGCCAAGAUGUUGACUGAUCUAAAGUCGAUAAAGUCGGUGACGAUGGUGUCGCAAAGAAAAGCUCUUGCUCGGUGGUGAUCGCCCACCACUGGUCGCUUGCGGGUGGAAUCGCAGAAAAAAUAGGAAAACCCACGUUUCCCCAUUUUUUACCUGAAUAACCAUAAGGAACCUCCCGACUCGAAGAUGUUCUAUGUCAAUUAACGGCUUUAACGGUAAAUCGAUAAGCUUCGUCUUAUGACAGUUCCUUAGGAUUAUUGCCAUUAUUAUCCGCUUAAUUCUACGUGUACAGUUAGUGGCCGCCUCGACCAUAAAGACUCACCGGACGUAAAGAUGUAAAAACGCAUAUA